GGAGAUGUAACUCAGUUGGUAGAGUGGUUCCCUAACAUAGAUGAGGCCCUGGGUUCAGUUCCCAACAUCCCA
rnacentral:tRNA from 1 species